GGGGCUGUAUUAUAGCUUGGUUAGUAUUCGAGGUUUGGGACCUCGCGACCCAGGUUCAAAUCCUGGCAGCCCCA
rnacentral:tRNA from 1 species